UACGUAGGGACCAAGCGUUGUUCGGAUUUACUGGGCGUAAAGGGCGCGUAGGCGGCGCGGUAAGUCACUUGUGAAAUCUCUGAGCUUAACUCAGAACGGCCAAGUGAUACUGCAGUGCUAGAGUGUGGAAGGGGCAAUCGGAAUUCUUGGUGUAGCGGUGAAAUGCUUAGAUAUGACAUAGAACACCAAUUGCGAAGGCAGCUCACUACGCGAAUAUUGACACUGAGGCACGAAAGCGUGGGGAUCAAACAGG
rnacentral:rRNA from 1 species